CCAGCCCUUGACUUGACAGGGCUCUCCACCCUGACCUCCCAGAAUGAUUGGUCUACCGCCUUGAGGAACCGGGGCAGUGUCAUUCCAGCCUCCACCACCGCCUGAAAUCCACAGAGCCACACAGAUCUAUGAAUGCAGAGUGGCACAGCAAUUUCUCCAGAGAAAAGAGUCUCCUAUAAACAUCCCUGUUCCUCUAAAGCAGCUCCUGAUUUUCCAUUACGGCCGGGAAUGCUGGGAUCCCUGUCCAUCACUUCCUCUGGGGUUUCUGAUUGGCUGCUGUAGCCACGGCCUCCACCUCCAGCAGCAAUGAGUAGUGGAAUGUGGACUCCAUUUACCACCUGUAACCAAUGGAAA